AACAAGACGCGUAUAAUCUUCAAGCCACAGUGAGAAAGUUAAAAGUACAAUCUGGGACAUGCACCGUGAACAUAUCUGGUCAAAUUGAAAACUUGCAAUCUGAGUUGGAGGUUAAGAUGAGACAAUUGGAACAGAUAUCACAUGACAAAGGGAUUAUGGGUGAGUGGAGCUGGCUUGAUUGUUUUUGGUAUAAAUUAUUGACUACAGGUAGAAACAAUGUCACUCAUAUUUUUUUCCCAUUACAGUUCUUAGGAUCACAUUGCUUACCAGUGCAGUGAAAGAACUACAGAAAAAGAUUUCCUUAACCUCAACUCCAACCAAGAACACUGGUGAUAAUGUUGUUUAGUAUGCUUCUCUGUAUUACAAUUAAAAUGUUUACAAGGACACUUACAGUCAUAAUGUAGUCAAUAUCUGUCACAAUACGUGUUUAAUUUGCUGCAGUGAGUUAAUUUAUUCUAUGAGCAUUUUUUACCAUGCUAAAUUAUAAAUAUCAAGUACCUUAUGGUUCUUUAUAAUUUAUGUUUAUAUGUUUUUAGAACUACAAAGUGACCUGGAGGAAAUAAAAAGACAACUGAAGUUUAAAACACAAGAACUGGAAAAGAAUAGUCAGAACUCUAAACUUGUUCUUGAGAUCAUUGAUCUGCAAACUGAAAUCUGGGAGCUGCAGAAAACAAAUCGCACUCAAGAGACUUUAAACAAAAUCUCUGUUCUACAGAGACAACUGGACCGCAGGAUCAAUGAACUAGAAAGCAACCCCAUGGGCAGUGACAACACAGAAAUUGUGAUGAUGAUUAUGACAUUGGAAAGUGAGGUUGCAGAGCUACAGAAAAGGAUUGUGGAGGUCAAUGAGAAAUCCAAAACUGAGAUGACUAACUUAAAAAAGCAGCUGGAAGAUUUGAUCCAGCAACUUAAAGACAAGAUAUUAGAAUUGCCUGAGGACAAUACUAACAUGGAGCUAACUGAGGAGAUUUUGAAGCUGCAAAAUACAAUAAGUAACCUUUCAAGGCAAAUAUCAAACCUCGAAAAGAUGACCAAUGACCAACAUGCAGAGCUUCAGAAACAAUUGAACAUGAAGGCAAAGCAACUACAGUCCUGGAAGGAAAAAGUGAAAGGGGAAGAGGAUGCUUACACACAGCUGAUCGUUCAGAUCAUUUAUAUUAUGAAGGAGCAGAGAGACUUCCAGGUACAAAGAAAAGACGAGCACCAGAAAACAAGAAACCAGAUCAAUGACCUUAUAAAACAAAUUGAAAGCAAAAAGGAAGAUAUUGUCCAACUUCAGGCUGAAAAUCAAGGUAAGGCAAUUUCUUUGGACCAUUUUACCAGCAGGUGUAAUAAACAGAGUGACUAGCAGAUGUUCUAGUAGUUAAAGGUUUGAGCCAGUAACUGAAAGGUCUGCAUGAGUCCCUGAAGCAAAGAGGUGAAAUAGCUUCAUUUGUCCUGGUUGUUUACUGGAUAGCAGCGUCUGCUGAAUUACU
rnacentral:lncRNA from 1 species